UUGCUUUGUCCUCAGUCAAAUUUCUUAAAGUUUGAUCAAGAUUAUAGAAAAAUAUACUAAUAUCUACAAUAUCAAAUAAGUAUACUACGGAAAUAUAUAUCAUGAUGGAUUUAAUAAAACUAAUUUAGAGUUGUAGAUAUUGGUAUAUUUUUCUAUAAACUUGUUCAAACUUUAAGAAGUUUGACUUAGGACAAAGUUAG
rnacentral:pre_miRNA from 1 species